GCCGGAGUGGCGGAACUGGCAGACGCGCUGGACUCAAAAUCCAGUGGACCGCAAGGCCCGUGUGGGUUCGAUUCCCUCCUCCGGCA
rnacentral:tRNA from 2 species